AUUGAACGCUGGCGGCAGGCUUAACACAUGCAAGUCGAGCGAGCGGCGGACGGGUGAGUAAUGUCUGGGAAAAUGCCUGAUGGAGGGGGAUAACUACUGGAAACGGUAGCUAAUACCGCAUACCAUCAGAUGUGCCCAGAUGGGAUUAGCUAUUAGGUGUGGUAAUGGUUCACCUAGGCGACGAUGCCUAGCUGGUCUGAGAGGGUGACCGGCCACACUGGAACUGAGACACGGUCCAGAUCCCUACGGGAGGCAGCAGUGGGGAAUAUUGCACAAGGGGCGCAAGCCUGAUGCAGCAAUGCCGCGUGUGGGAAGAAGGCCUUCGGGUUGUAAAGCACUUUCAGCGAGGAGGCGUUACUCGCAGAAGAAGCAACGGCUAACUCCGUGCCAGCAGCCGCGGUAAUUC
rnacentral:rRNA from 1 species